AUCACUUCUCAGGCUUUUGGUUAAGAUCAAAUGCAGUAUGUGUUCUGAUCAGUUAAAAUACCAGAUACGUCCUCUAUCCGAGGGCAAUAUAUUAAGUGGAUUUGGGGAACAGGGAGAUGGAAGAGGAGCUUUCUCCAUCCACUCCCCACAUCGAGCUGGCAGCGCAGUAUCUCCAGGAAUGGGGCACCCAAA
ensembl:snRNA U2 U2 spliceosomal RNA